AGUGAACGCUGGCGGCAUGCCUAAUACAUGCAAGUCGAACGGCAGCACAGUAAGAUCUCGCCCUUACGGUUGGCGGGUGGCGGACGGGUGAGGCAUACAUCGGCUUCCACUAUUUCGUGGGUAACAUCGUAGAAAAACUGACGCUAAUACCUCAUACGACCUACGGCUGAAAGCAGGAGAGCAUGGCACCUUGCCCGUUUCUUAUAGCCGAAUCCGGGUCGCAUUAGCUAGUUGGUAAGGUAACGGCCUACCAAGGCGACGAUGCGUAGCCGAUCUGAGAGGAUGAUCAGCCACACUGGAACUGAGACACGGUCCAGACUCCUACGGGAGGCAGCAGUGGGGAAUAUUGGACAAUGGGCGAAAGCCUGACGCAGCAAUACCGCGUGGGUGAAGAAGGCCUUCGGGUUGUAAAGCUCUUUUGUUAGGAAAGAAAAGCAGCGGGAUUAUACAUCGCUGUUCUGACGGUACCCAAAGAAAAAGCACCGGCUAACUUCGUG
rnacentral:rRNA from 1 species